UUAUGUGCUCUACGGCUUUCUGGUAAUUUAUUGAGUAAACUUUCCCAAGGAACCCAUAGGUUUUGAAGCCUCUAACUAUUGAAAAACAAUGAAAAACCUGCGAAGUAGCGCUUUAGCCCUACCGUCUCCUAUAUUGUAUUUCACCCCAAUUCCCGUCGAACCCCUUUCUACCUUAUGGCUCGACCGCAACGAUGUGGUGAGUUUCUGAUCAGCAAACUGUCAGACGUUUUAUUUUGAUUUUGUUUGUUGACAUUCGGCCUAGAGUGGCUUUAACUUAGAGUGGCGUCAAUGUCAAAAUUGGAACAGCGGUCAUCUGUCAAAUCCAUACAAAUUCCUGUUCCAAACGAGCAGGAGACCUGUCAAAAUGGGAACAUGACGCCACUCUCCCUUCCAGUCACUCUAAUUCGGCCGUCUCGAUCUCGAUCAGUUUGUUCUGAUGUCGUUGAAAUUCUGCAAAAGUUUGCAACAAAAUUUUCACGAAAGUGGUACAUCUGCCACCAGACAAAAACCCGAAAAUACGUGCAGAUGCCUGCCGAAAUUAGUGCCGGCUAUAAAGCUAAAACUGGUUCCGCGGGUUUUGGAUCAGUGGUGGAAAGCAUCAUGCGCUUGACGUGUUUUUUGGUUCGCAUCAAACACAAUCUUUGCUCACGCGCUCGCGAACCCAAAAAGAGAGAACGGUUCACGAUUUCCCGAAUCGACGAACCAACACAAAACAAAUGUCGAACGAGCAGAAUCGCAGUUGGUUCGCCAGAAGGAUCACAAUGUAGAGCACUUGGUUUGUUGCCAUUUUUUGUACACUUAAAGGUAAUUAGUUGGGUGUUUUAUGAUUAUACUGGUCAGGUACCAUACCAAUAAAUGAUAUAGACGAAAAAGUUUACCAACAUUUGAUUUCAUUACAAAAAUAUCGGCCGCGAACCUCUAAAAUAAAAAAGCAUCGCACUUGCAAAAGAUGCGAUGCACUCGUUGGCGUUCGUGUCGUACGAUCGUGAGCCACAGGCGUGCGAACACAAUCGCACAGCAGAGGUUUGCGAUGCGAUGGCAUUUUUUUGUAGCGCGUAAGCUCACGUUCGCGAUCCAUUUCCACCACUGUUUUGGAUAAAUCACCGAUUCGUUCGGACCACAGCAUUCAGCAUUCGAUUCGGACAAAAGCACUUCCGGACGUGCCAAACACACCGGCAACCGUCUCCCACUGCUUCAAUGUGCUGAACCGACAGGAAGGUCCUAUGGCUAGGGAGAACGUGCUACAUCCUUUACUUCAUACCCCAAGCAUCCGAGAUUCAAGCAAACAAUAUAACAGCAAACCAGCCCAACAUCCUGAUAGACACCAUUCCUUGGAGCAAAUCAGAGUAUCCCUGAAGCGCCGCAAUCCGCAAGAAAAAAAACAGAAACCGGACAAACUGCGCGGCUGGUAUUUUGUAUACAACUUGAUCGAAAACAACACGGUUGAGAAGAAGCCCAGCCUGGAAGUGGUUCUGUCAGCUUCAUCGAGGGAAUCAGUUCCUAGCGGGACGCUAUCUCGCUCAAACCACACGCUACCUACAACAAGCUUAUGCUGCUGGAUUUGGUCGUGUAGAAAACGCCGGAAGCGGUCGUGAAGAACAAAAAAAGAACAGCACAGCUCGACUUCUGCUCAGCGGACCUUUAACGAACUGCAUAACGACGGCACCAUGACAGUGGUGGUAGUGGAACAACUCUGACGUGAAAAUCGUCAAGGCGAAAAUGUGUUCAAUGGAGCGAUACGAGUGAUUCACUAAAUUCUGCAAUCCCUGCUCAACGAUCCGGAGCUGAAUGCCGCGAUCAGUGUUCUUCCCACGAAUUAGGCGCACAAUGCAGCUAACGAACUAAGAGAAGCCGAACAUGAUGUGCUAAUUUCGCUGAGCAAACCUUUGAGUCUCGGAGAAAUCCUCGACUGUACAGCUCCCCGGAUACCGGAUAAACGGAUACUGAUCUACCUGGGCGACGGAUGGAUUCACCUGGAAGCGACAAUGAUCUCCAAUCUAUCGCUGAAAGUCUACAAGUACGAUCCCUACAAGAAGCACUCGGGAGCACUACGACCAAGCGGAAAUCCGAAACACAACCGGCCAUCGAUGCCAGCAGAGGGGUGUAAAAGUUCGGGCUUAUUUUUUAGUCACUGGGCCGAAAGGGAUUCACCAAGGUGAUGGGCCAUUUGCAGAAAAGAUCGAGGAAAAUAUUGAAGCCACACAAUCGACAGGCGGUCAUCACCGUCGGAAAUAUUCCUGGCAAAGUUCGUGCUCUUCAAGGACGUGGAUAUGUUUGUGCAGGUAGCAUGUCCGCGACUCUCCAUCAACUGGGCACUGCAUUCCCGAAACUACUUCUUAAACCGUACGAACUGUCGGUGGCGCUGGGUGAUACAGAGUGGAAACUACAGUUCAGUCCAUGCUGCUGCUGAUUGAACAUGAUUACUUCUGUCUUCCAAACCGAGCAUCAUCGAGGAUUUCAUUCUCGUCACCGUCAGUCUUGGACGAGCAUCAACGGCUUUUGAUUUGAUACAUCAUAUUUUUCUAUUAUAAUUAAAUAGUACCGUAGGGUAGGGGUGCUCUUUUGUUGGGACAAAACAUAUCCGAAAUUUCGACAAGGCUCUGAACAAGGUUAGUUAUUGCAGGUUAUGCUAUAUUGUGUCAUGCCUAUUUCUAACAUCAAUCACUUCUUGGAGUAAGUAAAAUUUGUUUUUCAUCUGAAUUUCCUGUAACUGAUUAGGUUCACCAAGUUCUCUCAAGUUGCAUGGUGAUGCAAAAACAUUUCAUGUUGUAUUUGGUCUCUACUUUCAAAAAUAAAGUUAGUAAAACUUGCGUUCAUCAGAGUUUGUGAUAACUGAUUAGGUUCACCAAGUUCUCCCAAGUUGCAUGGUGAUGCAAGAACAUUUCAUGUUGUUUUUGGUCUCGACUUCCAAAAAUAAAG